rnacentral:rRNA from 1 species
UUUGCAGAGUGCAAACAGCUCUGCGAAUAAAAGCGGGGUAAGACCGGUGCCAGCCGCCGCGGUAACACCGGCCGCUUGAGUGGUGACCGCUAUUAUUGGGCCUAAAGCGUCCGUAGCCGGUUUGGUAAGUCCUUAGAUAAAUCCACUCGUUCAACGAAUGGAAUUCUAAAGAUACUGCCAGACUCGGGGGCGAGAGAAGUCGGAGGUACUUCUAGGGUAGCGGUGAAAUGUUAUAAUCCUAGAGGGACCACCAGUGGCGAAGGCGUCCGACUAGAGCGUGCCCGACGGUGAGGGACGAAAGCCAGGGGAGCGAACGGGAUUAGAUACCCCGGUAGUCCUGGCCGUAAACGCUGCGGGCUAGGUGUUACGUCCUCUACGUGGGGACGUAGUGCCGUAGAGAAGUUGAUAAGCCUGCCGCCUGGGAAGUAUUACCGCAAGGUAG